rnacentral:rRNA from 1 species
GGGGGGGAGCGAGCGUUGUUCGGAAUCACUGGGCGUAAAGGGCGCGUAGGCGGCCGGAUAAGGUCGUGUGUGAAAGACCGGGGGGGCUCAACUCCGUGUAUUGCAUGCGAUACUGCCCGGCUAGAGUAAGGUAGAGGCGAGUGGAAUUCCCGGUGUAGCGGUGGAAUGCGUAGAUAUCGGGAAGAACACCUGUGGCGAAGGCGGCUCGCUGGGCCUUUUCUGACGCUGAAGCGCGAAAGCGUGGGGAGCAAACAGGAUUAGAUACCCUGGUAGUCCACGCCGUAAACGAUGGGCACUAGGCGUUGGGAGGAUUGACCCUCUCAGUGCCGUAGCUAACGCGUUAAGUGCCCCGCCUGGGGAGUACGGCCGCAAAGGCUGA